CCUACGGGAGGCAGCAGUGGGGAAUUUUGGACAAUGGGCGCAAGCCUGAUCCAGCAAUGCCGCGUGAGUGAAGAAGGCCUUCGGGUUGUAAAGCUCUUUUGUUCAGGGAAGAAACGGUGGAGGCUAAUAUCCUUUGCUAAUGACGGUACCUGAAGAAUAAGCACCGGCUAACUACGUGCCAGCAGCCGCGGUAAUACGUAGGGUGCAAGCGUUAAUCGGAAUUACUGGGCGUAAAGCGUGCGCAGGCGGUUUUGUAAGUUUGUCGUGAAAUCCCCGGGUCUCAACCUGGGAAUGGCGAUGAAGACUGCAAGGCUAGAAUCUGGCAGAGGGGGGUAGAAUUCCACGUGUAGCAGUGAAAUGCGUAGAGAUGUGGAGGAACACCGAUGGCGAAGGCAGCCCCCUGGGUCAAGAUUGACGCUCAUGCACGAAAGCGUGGGGAGCAAACAGGAUUAGAUACCCUGGUAGUCCACGGCCCUAAACGGAUGUCUAACUAGUUGUCGGGUUUUAAUUAACUUGGUAACGCAGCUAACGCGUGAAGUAGACCCGCCUUGGGGGAGGUACGGUCGCGAGAGUUAAAACUUAAAAUUAAGUAAGUUAGUACGGCGUGAGACGUAGCCGACGGACGACGACGAGGGAGGAGG
rnacentral:rRNA from 1 species